AACGAACGCUGGCGGCAUGCCUAACACAUGCAAGUCGAACGAGACCUUCGGGUCUAGUGGCGCACGGGUGCGUAACGCGUGGGAACCUGCCCUUAGGUUCGGAAUAACUCCCCGAAAGGGGUGCUAAUACCGGAUAAUGUCUUCGGACCAAAGAUUUAUCGCCUUUGGAUGGGCCCGCGUUGGAUUAGCUAGUUGGUAGGGUAAAAGCCUACCAAGGCGACGAUCCAUAGCUGGUCUGAGAGGAUGAUCAGCCACACUGGGACUGAGACACGGCCCAGACUCCUACGGGAGGGCGCAGUGGGGAAUAUUGGACAAUGGGCGAAAGCCUGAUCCAGCAAUGCCGCGUGAGUGAUGAAGGCCUUAGGGUUGUAAAGCUCUUUUACCCGGGAUGAUAAUGACAGUACCGGGAGAAUAAGCUCCGGCUAACUCCGUG
rnacentral:rRNA from 1 species